rnacentral:rRNA from 1 species
GACGAACGCUGGCGGCGUGCCUAAUACAUGCAAGUAGAACGCACAGUUUAUACCGUAGCUUGCUACACCAUAGACUGUGAGUUGCGAACGGGUUAGGUACGCGUAGGUAACCUGCCUGGUAGCGUGGGAUAACUAUUGGAAACGAUAGCUAAUACCGCAUAAUAUUGAUUAUUGCAUGAUAAUUGAUUGAAAGAUGCUAUUGCAUCACUACCAGAUGGACCUGCGGUGUAUUAGCUAGUAGGUGAGGUAACGGCGAACAUAGGCGACGAUACAGAGCCGCACGGAGAGGGUGGGCAGCCGCACUGGGACUGUGACCCGCCCCAGACUCCUACGGGAGGCAGCAGUAGGGAAUCUUCGGCAAUGGACGAGAGUCUGACCGAGCAACGCCGCGUGAGUGAAGAAGGUUUUCGGAUCGUAAAGCUCUGUUGUAAGAGAAGAACGGGUGUGAGAGUGGAAAGUUCACACUGUGACGGUAUCUUACCAGAAAGCGACGGCUAACUACGUG